rnacentral:rRNA from 1 species
UACGUAGGGUGCAAGCGUUAUCCGGAAUUAUUGGGCGUAAAGAGCUCGUAGGCGGUUUGUCGCGUCUGCUGUGAAAACUGGAGGCUCAACCUCCAGCCUGCAGUGGGUACGGGCAGACUAGAGUGCGGUAGGGGAGAUUGGAAUUCCUGGUGUAGCGGUGGAAUGCGCAGAUAUCAGGAGGAGCACCGAUGGCGAAGGCAGAUCUCUGGGCCGUAACUGACGCUGAGGAGCGAAAGCAUGGGGAGCGAACAGG